rnacentral:rRNA from 1 species
GACAGAGGGUGCAAACGUUGCUCGGAAUUACUGGGCGUAAAGCGCAUGUAGGUGGGUGGGAAAGUCAGAUGUGAAAUCCCUGAGCUCAACUUAGGAACUGCAUUUGAAACUUCCCGUCUUGAGUAUUGAAGAGGAUUGCGGAAUUCCUGGUGUAGAGGUGAAAUUCGUAGAUAUCAGGAGGAACACCGGUGGCGAAGGCGGCAAUCUGGGCAAUUACUGACACUGAGAUGCGAAAGCGUGGGGAGCAAAC